rnacentral:rRNA from 1 species
CCUACGGGAGGCAGCAGUGGGGAAUAUUGGGCAAUGGGCGCAAGCCUGACCCAGCAACGCCGCGUGAAGGAAGAAGGCUUUCGGGUUGUAAACUUCUUUUAAGAGGGAAGAGCAGAAGCCGGUACCUCUUGAAUAAGCCCCGGCUAACUACGUGCCAGCAGCGGAGGUAAUCGGUAGGUGGCAAGCGUUGUCCGGAUUUACGGGGUGUAAAGGGCGUGUAGCCGGGCUGACAAGUCAGAUGUGAAAUCCGGGGGCGAAACCCCCGAACUGCAUUUGAAACGGUUGGUCUUGAGUAUCGGAGAGGCAGGCGGAAUUCCUAGUGUAGCGGUGAAAUGCGUAGAUAUUAGGAGGAACACCAGUGGCGAAGGCGGCCUGCUGGACGACAACUGACGGUGAGGCGCGAAAGCGUGGGGAGCAAACAGGAUUAGAUACCCGGGUAGUC